UAUUGGUCAAUGGACGCGAGUCUGAACCAGCCAAGUAGCGUGAAGGAUGACUGCCCUAUGGGUUGUAAACUUAUUUUAUAUGGGAAUAAAGUUUUCUACGUGUGGAAUUUUGUAUUUACCAUAUUAAUAAGGAUCGGCUAAAUACGUGCCAGCAGCCGCGGUAAUACGGAGGAUCCGAGCGUUAUCCGGAUUUAUUGGGUUUAAAGGGAGCGUAGGUGGACAGUUAAGUCAGUUGUGAAAGUUUGCGGCUCAACCGUAAAAUUGCAGUUGAUACUGGCUGUCUUGAGUACAGUAGAGGUGGGCGGAAUUCGUGGUGUAGCGGUGAAAUGCUUAGAUAUCACGAAGAACUCCGAUGGCGAAGGCAGCUCACUAGACUGCAACUGACACUGAUGCUCGAAAGUGUGGGUAUCAAAC
rnacentral:rRNA from 1 species